rnacentral:rRNA from 1 species
CUCGAAUUAAUACCGCAUACGACCUACGGGUGAAAGGGGGCGCAAGCUCUUGCUAUUAGAUGAGCCUAAAUCAGAUUAGCUAGUUGGUGGGGUAAAGGCCCACCAAGGCGACGAUCUGUAACUGGUCUGAGAGGAUGAUCAGUCACACCGGAACUGAGACACGGUCCGGACUCCUACGGGAGGCAGCAGUGGGGAAUAUUGGACAAUGGGGGCAACCCUGAUCCAGCCAUGCCGCGUGUGUGAAGAAGGCCUUUUGGUUGUAAAGCACUUUAAGCAGGGAGGAGAGGCUAAUGGUUAAUACCCAUUAGAUUAGACGUUACCUGCAGAAUAAGCACCGGCUAACUCUGUGCCAGCAGCCGCGGUAAUA